GGCGGUCGUUAUCAGGAGCCUCACAGGCAGGUUAGAGUUUUACGUGAGAAAUCACAAUCAAACAAAUAAAAUGAUAAAUGAAGCUGUACAAAAGGAGGAAAGGAAUAAACAAAUACCAAAGAUGAAGCAUAUCCCCCUGUACAACCUGAUCUACCGUCUUUUAUGACCGGUACAGUAAAACACUAAUUUGACAAGCAAGAAUCUAAGACGCCAGCAAGAAAUCUCCACAACCAUGUAAAACUACCAAGAAAAACUCCCAUCAGUUGAAACACCAUCUAGUAAAUUCUAAGGACUAUAGUAAUCAGGAGAUGGAGAGACGGGAAAAGGAAAAAGAGGCCAGAUCUGAUGUUUCUUCAAAAAAAAGGUCUUCAUAGAAAGAACCCUUUGAAGACCUGCCGCAAGUAGGAUCUCGGCCUUGAAACCCGAGGAUCGUCUCCGGAAGCCAGCGAGGAGGAACAGGAGGAGGAUGAGGGGCGUCGAGGGGACUGGCCAAGCAACAGGAAAGGGUUGAGGAGAUGGCAGGGAGAGAGUUCUUUAAAAGGUUGCUAACCUGAAAGUCAACCCAAGAGUUCAUCAACCACAGAGAUGCAACCACAACCAGCUUCUUGUCAAGCACCACAACUACAAACACCAGUGCAGGUACAAUCAACCCAAUAACCACCAUUCCAGGAUCCAGCAGGUGGCCCAAGCUAUGUCAAAUCACUCAAGUUAGACCUUACUGUAAACUUUGGUAGAUCUAAUGAAAGACAAAAGAGAUUUGCUGCAUCCAGAGCCUGAGGUAUUCAAAGAAGCUUUAUUAGUUUUACAUGGAUUCAAAUCUCUGAAAUUUUCACUGAAUCAAGAGUUUCAAAUCCUGCAGAAGAGUUGUUCUGUCUAGGAAAAUACAUUGAUGGGAAGGCUAAGGCUGCAGUUAAAGAUCAUUUAUGAGUCCAUACAGAAGCAGCAUAUCAAAGAGCUAAGAGUAUCUUGAUAGGUAUGGUAAUGAAUUUAUAGUAGCCAGUGUUUUCAGGAAGAAAUUAAGAGUAGACAAAGAUUGCAAUUAAUGAUGCUCUAACUUUACAGUAAUUAUCAGAUUUCCUAAAAUUUGUGUUGCUAUAAAGACUACAACAAGAUACCUACAUAUUUUAAAGGACCCACAGGAGAACAGCCUUGUCCUGCAAAAGUUACCUCCAGUUUUGAUAAAUAGAUGGAACAAUAUAGUACAUGAAUGGUGGUCAGAAAAAGCAGGAUAUCCACAAUUUAGUCUCUUUUAUCAGUUUAUAGAAAAAGAGGCAAAGGAAGGUUGUAAUCCCAAUAUCUUUUUACACUGCAGUAAUGUUAGUCAUAGUAAAGGCCCAACUGUAUCUAAAGGGAGCAGGGAUGGAAAGAUAGAAGCAUAUAAAACUGGUUUAGUUUGUGUUUAAUGCAACUGACGCCAAGGAGAAUGAACUACAAAAAAUGAGAAAUCUCAUAAUGAUGAUAGGAAACAGAGUACCAGAAAAUUACAGUGUAUUAAAUAUAAGGGAGAAAAUGAAUUUGAUAAUUGUAAAAGAAAAAUUAGGAACUGGAAAACAAUAAAAAAAAUGGACUAUGUAUUAAAAAAAUUACCUCUGUAGUUCCUUGAAUUGAGGACAUGUAGUGAAAUAUUGUAGAAAAAGGAAAAGUUGUGCCAUAUGUGACAGACGUCUUCAUGAUGUUAUAUUAGAGAAAGUAAAGGAGGAGAGAUGGGAUGUUAAAUCUGAGGAGGCUAAUAAAGUUGCAAAUGAAGAUAAAUAUUUAUCAAACAGGAUUAGCAUCACUAAGUCUAUGAUAGGUGAUAGAUAGUGCCAGUGUGGUUAUAUAAGAAUACUAAUAAAGCAAAGACAGUCUUGGUAUAUGUUUUAAUGGCUGAUCAGUCUGGUGCUUGUUUUGUAAAGAAUAGAACUCUAGAAACAUUGCAAGUAACAGUACCACAAGUGAAUUUGCAAAUAAGUAUUGUAAUGGGUGAAACUAACAUACUUUGCACUAAAAUAAAGGAACAUGUGGUACAGGGAACGUAUGAACAAAAGGAAAUAAUAUUACCUAUUGUAUAUCCUAGAAUAGCAGCUAAUCUCUCAAAGAAGAUGUUUAAAAUCAGUUUCUACAGUUACAAAAACCAUCCAACUUAUUGAUAGAAGUGAAAAAGUGUGCAUGAAAGGUUGAUUUAAGCUACACAAGUUUUGCAUCAAUCAUUCCUCAUUGAUAUGGCAAGCAGUAUCAAAACAUUAAAUCAUACUAAGGAUACGCUGCUUAUUGAAAGAACUCAAGGAAUAGAGUGGUG